rnacentral:lncRNA from 1 species
AAACAGCGAUUCUUCUGCAGUGAAUCACUUCCAGAAAUGAAUAGCCACAGUUUUUUGGAAUGAACGUUGUGAAAUCCCUCCUUUAUAAUGGCAGGUUUUCAGUUGGUGGUUUUAUCAGAAUUUCUCAAGAUCAAAACGAAACCUUCUCUUUAAAAAGGAAAGAAAGUACUAUCGAUACAGAAAGCAAAAGUAUUUCCAGUCUCCUACUGAACUGUCACGGCAGACCUCUCUGUAUCUAUAUUUAGAGCUGUAUGUCCAUAUAUUUGCCUGAAUGUGUGAGUUCUUGGAAGUAUGGAUUCAUUGCCAGGAGCUGGUGAUUUCCUAAGCAGAGGUCGCUAACUACAAGAAAUGUUACACUCGGACAAGUCCUGCGCUUGGGGAUCCUCUGUACGCCCGUUCACUGGUGCAGGUCUUCUGAACAAAUGCCUCCUGAGGAUUUCUGUGCCUGGAAAAUAUCUGUUAACAGACUGCUUUUACACCUACCUAUUUGGUGCUACUUCUACUCCUCAUGACCAAAGCUGGCUUUCAUGGUUUACUCAUGUACUUACUGAUGAAACCCUGAGACUUGGGGCCAGUGACUGUUCAGAGGUCCAUGUGAAGAUGCGCUGAAUGGUAUAAAGGACAGAGCAGUAAAGAGUGCUGGCUGAAUGCCUGGGCUGGCAAUCAGGCAUGUUGGAGUUUGAGUCCCAGUCUGCCACUCCAGCUCUGUGACCAAGAGGAAGUGAAGUCAUGUACCCUUUCUAAGUCUCUAGCCCCUCUUCUGAAAGACGAAGAUGCCACCACCAACCAUGUUAGUGGUUGUGAAUGCCAAGAAAGUCCAUGUGAAGCACAUAGCAUAGUGUCUGCCAUGCGUUAAGUGUUCCAAAAAUGGAAGCUAUGACUAUUUCACAGAGUACACUUCCCAUCACUUUUCAGUUCAUUUUGGCCUUCUCCCUCAAAAGCACUCCAGUGUUCUGAUCCAGCUGAUAAAACACCAAACAUUCACAUAGUGCUUUAAAAGUGACCCACUGUUUUUACAGACUGCAUUACAUAUGACCCUAACAACCACUGCAAUAUAGAAAUUCGCAUCUCCAUUCUCCAGAUCAGGAUACCGAAGCUCAGAAAAAUUAAAUGAUUUGCCCAGGAUCACAUAGUUAGUAAGCAGCCCAGCCAGAUCCUGUGUUAACUUGUUCAUCCGCUUCCUAUAAGAAAACAUCCAUUCAAGGCACAUGGGGCAACAAAGAAGGACUUAGAGCUGUGUGGCCCCUCGUCAGGGCAGUACCAGUUGCACCCAUAGUCCGGCCUGAAUACUCAGCUUAGGACUAUUGUGUCCAAUGUCCCAAACAUUUUGAAGCUACAUCUUAAAGAAGUGUCCUGCUCAGAUGCAGUUCUCCUUGUGAAAUCCGCAGGCCCCAAGGAAAGUGACUUUAAUCCAGUUUGCUCAUGCAAGAACAGACUGGCAUUUCACAUCCAGGAAAACAAUGGAUUUGUACUGUUCAGCUUUUGCCAUGCAAGGAGUUCCUGGUGUGGUUUAUUAAUUUACAUCUCAGGCUCCAGCUUCACUAUCAAUCAGAUUUGGAAGAAAAAAGUUACAAAGAAAGGCAGCUUGCUGAGAAACAGCGGAAGCAUGACGGUACAGACUGGGUUUUGAAAUGGAGACACAUUCUCAUGGCUUGUGGGCUGAGAGACACUGAGAAAGGAUUUUGUUCUUGAAAGAUGAUUGUUUUAAUGCUGGAGAUGGAGAGUUUUGACAAUUUUAAGUGCAUGUUCUGUGUGUAAGAAAGAGUCAUUACGUUUUUUUUUUCUUUCAGAUGUUGCCAUGCCUUAAAAUUGCUGAUGAUUAAAAUAGAACAUCCUGAGUUACAGAAAUUCAGCCCUAGUGUAUCCUGGCCUAAAAAUACAGAACAAUCAAGUUGAUUGUUGGAAAUGAGAGGCUAGGCAGGGUUGGAAACAUGCUAAUGUUUACUGAGUGAAAUCUUUCCUUCUCAGUAGAGUUGCCCUUGCAGCUGAAAGUCACUGAAAGACUCAACAAAAUAAGCAGAUCCCACUUGUCUCACUCUGUUCUCCUAUGCAUGCCCUGGAAAGAGAAUGAAUGAGCCCUUUUUAAUUUAUCAACUGGUUUUCUUCCAUCUCUUUACUAGUGAGCCAUGGGGGUUUUUUGCCGUUAACUGGGUAGCCAGUCUCUUCAUGGAGACUUAUUUUCAGGAAACUAGCCUCUUGCUUUAUGUGAAAACAAGGACCCAACUCAA